AAAAAGUAGAUUGUUCUCCCAAGAGUUCUUGUCCUUAUUUUGUGUGAAUAUAUGUUCUAAAGCUAAGUAAACCAGUACACAGGAAAAGCAAGGAAAGAAAAGAAAAAUACUCCAGGGGGAGGGGGAAUUCAACAGAUGGAAUCAACACAGGCAAGUGACACUGCAGUAAAACUGUAAUUUAUGUUACAAUUCUCAUUGAUGGCUUUUGCUGGGUGCACUGGCUCAGCCACCUCUGGUUACAGCUCUGCUUUGUCACAAUGGCAGCAGAAUCCAGCACGACUCUCCUUUCAAGCCCCAUAGCACACUCCUGGAGCAGCUAAAGCCUUGCAGAACUCAUUACUUGAUUAAGUACUCUUUAAUAUCCACAAUGCUGGAAAACACUUCUUGGAACGCAGCUGGGAUCUGCCAGUUCAUACAAAGCCAUAAAGUCCUUCACACUUCCCUUCAGAAACCUUAAACACCCUGCCAGCCACCAUUAAUUAAGAUCCCCAUACCAGGUAUAUGCCCCAAGCUCCUAAUCCACAGCCUCCUGACCACAGCUCCCCUUCUCCAUCCAAACCUGGCAUCUGCCCAGCCCAUCCAGGCUCCCACCCUGCCCAUCUGAGAACCCAGUCCCUGGAGACUCUCCUGGAAUAGCUGAGAACUCCUGUUCCUGAGGUUAGAGAGGAAUGGCCCAUGGUCCCUACAACCAGCUGACAGGAAGCAGUUGGACACUACAAAGGAAGAGGAGGAGGAUCUCAGGAAUAUUUGGAAGUCUGAUGUUUUGAUGUCUCGUCUAAAGCAGCACCAUGCUGAGAGGACUGCACAGGGGUCAGAAAAAUGAGAUGUAGCAAAAGCACUGAUGAAAAACAAGAAUCAUUCCAGGAAUUACAUCCUUUUCAUGUUUCCAAGCUGAAGCAUAUCCAUCUCCCUUUCUUAAGGCACUGUCCUUCCCCUCCUCUCCCUGCAGCAGUAGCUGCCUGUGCUACACUGCAAUGUUGGCUCACUUCCACAAGUCAGCAUGUCUGAGAGAGAGUCUGGGUUGAGGCAGGGGGAGGAGGCAGUGACAAAGCUG